rnacentral:rRNA from 1 species
UGCCAGCCGCCGCGGUAAUACGUAAGUCGCAAGCGUUAUCCGGAAUUAUUGGGCGUAAAGCGCGUGUAGGCGGUUCGUUAAGUCUGAUGUGAAAGCCCGGGGCUCAACCCCGGAAGUGCAUUGGAAACUGGCGAACUUGAGUACGGGAGAGGAAAGUGGAAUUCCGAGUGUAGGGGUGAAAUCCGUAGAUAUUCGGAGGAACACCAGUGGCGAAGGCGGCUAACUGGCUCGGUACUGACGCUGAGAUGCGAAAGCGUGGGGAGCAAACAGGAUUAGAUA